rnacentral:rRNA from 1 species
UGUGUAGGCGGUUCUUUAAGUUUGGUGUGAAAUCUCCCGGCUUAACCGGGAGGGUGCGCCGAAUACUGAGGGACUAGAGUACGGGAGAGGAAAGUGGAAUCCCUGGUGUAGCGGUGAAAUGCGUAGAUAUCAGGAGGAACACCGGUGGUGUAGACGGCUUUCUGGACCGUAACUGACGCUGAGACACGAAAGCGUGGGUAGCAAACAGGAUUAGAUACCCUGGUAGUCCACGCCCUAAACGAUGCAUAUUUGGUGUGGGCAGUUCAUUCUGUCCGUGCCGGAGCUAACGCGUUAAAUAUGCCGCCUGGGGAGUACAGUCGCAAGGCUGAA